rnacentral:lncRNA from 8 species
CGAUUUUUUGUUUUCAUGCAGUUUUACUAUAGCCAAUAUUGACUUUGUGGCUGUGCUAUCCAGUGGAAACCUCAGGAACGCCUCACCGGCCAUAUGUCGCGUUAAUGUGCUAGUCGGAAAUUAGAAAACUCUGAAAUGUCCGACUUGCUAAUUGGUUGUAUUUAUACACUGGCCGCGUUCAACGAAUAAUCAAGUCGGACAUUUCCAACUAGGAUGUGAACGCGGCAAUAAACCAGGGUCGCUCGGGGGAGGUCGUACAUGACCGAGACUUUUCGCGGCAUAAUAUCCAAGACUAUCAAUGAUUGGUUGUGGUGGUAUGGCGUAAAGCGUUUUCUGCUGGCGCUGUGGUAUAAAAACCCUUCAGACUACUUGAAUAGUCUCAUUUGUUCAGUCUUCAGGAUCGUUUUUUUGCGGCCGAAGGCCAACAUAAUAUUUCGACGGGACGUUUGUAACUGCAGUAAUGAAGCUUCGAGGGGCAAAGGUGAUUUGCCCUGUGUACCUCCUGUUCGUACUGGGCAUAUGUAUGGUCAUUGACAUGGUGUCAUGCCGACUUGGUCUACCAAUUGGCCACAAGAUGGCUCUCAACCCCAGAUGCCCUUUUGGUGAGUAUGAACCCUGAUCAGUGUUGAUUACGUUGCGUGAAAUCAUCUUCUGUUUGUGGGUAUAUGGGGAGGAAUUGACUAUGGUCACAGCACUGCAUGGUAUCUGCAGCCAGUCGUGACUCUAGUUAGUGUUCAUUAGUCAGUGCAAGAGCAACCUGGGCAUAUGACAUUGUUGGUCUCCAUGCCUCUUGUGUGGAGUCCUGGUAUAUCUGUCGACACAUUUCACUUCCCAGCGAGUUUAUAUCAUUGAACUUCCUGUAUGCAAAUUCAGUCUUGUGUUCUCUUGACAGGACCGUCAUGUCAAACGUGCCAAGGGGUCUGAAGGUAAUGAUUGAAAGUGAGUACUUGUGUUGAGUCUCUUGAAAAGCUAGCCAAGGGCCCACUGAGUUGCACUGUAUGGUAUCUGCAGCCAGCCCUCACCACAGGCUGUUCUGUUCAUAACACAGUGCGAGAGUGACUCUGCAUCUGGCAUCGUUAGGCUCCUGGCUGGUCUGUGCCUGGAGCCCUGGUAUUUGUGCUGAUACAAACCCAUUCUCUCUACGAGCCUACUGUGGGCUGGCUGGCAUCUAUGGAAUGCGAGGCCUCUGGUGGUGCAGUGUCAGAAUUCCCCGGCAUACCCAACACCAGGCCUGAGCGGCAUGCCAUGGGCUGCCACAGGGCAAGAACAUCUCAGCACUGCGACCAGGCCCAAUUACAAAAUCUCAAGCCCUCUGACAUUUUGUCUCCUUUUAGUUGAAUCCAAAUGUUUUGCUAGUGAUGGGCUGCUGACAUUCUGAUUCCCCAAUUAAAGCCAAGACAGUCAAUGUAUCCAAGUAAUGCCUUGGGGAAUUUAUACUGAAAAAUAUAAAUGCACCAUGUAAAGUGUUGGUUUCAUGAGCUGAAAUAAAAAAUCUCUGACAUUUGCUAUACACAGAAAGCUAAUUUCUCUCAAAUGUUGUGCACAUUUGUUUACAUCCUUGUUAAUGGUCUUUUCUCCUUAGCCAAGAUAAUGCAUCCACUUGACAGGUGUGGCAUAUCAAGAAGCUGAUUAAACAGUGUAAGCAUUACACAGGUGCACCUUGUGCUGGGGACAUUAAAAGACCACUCUCAAAUGUGCAGUUUUGUCACAAUGUCAGAUGUCUCAUUUGGUAAAAUGGUCAAAUGUUAACAAAAUACACUAGACAGUGCAGAAUAUUUUUUUGUGGGCAAAAUGUAUUAUUUCAGAUGUUAGGUGGAAAUUUUAUGCCAAAUAUAGAUAUAAUAAUCUGAGUAGCACAAUGACAUGUUGCCCUUCCACUACAACUCAUUGGGAAAGCAUGCAUUUUAUUAGGCUACAGAUUAAAUUAGGAGUACUGCAUUGUUGAGAUUAGACUUGAAAGAAGGGCAUUUUGCUGUACUUGUGCAUGUGACAUUAAAACUUGAACUAAUGAACUUCACAGGGUGGUUAAAGUGCAAGGUGAUGAGUUUGAUGCGCCUUCCCAAAAAUAUUGUCUUAUUUUCAUGACAUGCUCAUUGAUGCUUGGCUUUUUGUCCAUAAUCUCAUGUAGGCUGUAUGUGCGCUGUAGCCAACAGCGCUAUCUGUGCACACUAUCGGUGUGCUGGCACACUCGAGAUAUAUAUGAACAAAUGGUUUUUGUGAGAUCCAGCUGAGUUGCAAAUGUGAUGGCAACCCAUUUAUCUAAAAAGGUAUUUCUCUGUGUAUUAAGUCAUCAUGCAUAGCCAUAUCUGCAAUAUUCAGAAAACAGUUCUGUAGGAAUGAGGUUUAUGCAGUAUGCCCAAUUAUCACAGCAGAUUGGCUAUAGGCCUGGCCUGCCAAUGUUCUUCUCGAACCAUAUAUUUCAAAAUUAGAUCAGUUGGUGUAGCACUUGCUGAGCAUAAAUUGAGCGCAUUUGGUUUAUUUUACUGAACUGAUGGCACCUGCAUUUGAUGGUCAUGGUGCUUUCUCUUGAAAGAUGCCAGAGUUCUGAGUUUAAUGGCCGUUCAAAAGGAUUUCCCCCCAGUUGUCUUAAGAGUUCCCAGUUUUGAACAUGUCAUUAGUCUCAGGAGGGAGCAGCAGAGGGUUCAAAAUAGGAACACUUUUUGCCUACCCGGUUGGCGGGGCUUCUGAAUCAAGUGAACCAACAGCACAACACAAAUUAUUAAAACAGUGCAAGCCUUUUCUACAUAAAUGUUUGGCGAUCGACUAGGAAUGCCUUGAAGAUUGACCGAUUGGUGCCCAAUGAUGUAUGUGAUAAUGCAGAGUGAGUGUUUUCAAUCCAUUGAGUAAUUAAUCGCUGCUGACCUCACUUCAGGCAUACCAGGACUGGUCAUUAUACCAAGGCUUUUGGGAUAUUCGGUUCCUGACUUGCCAUGGAAUUGAUCAUAAAGUAAACCUUGUUCCAGUGGGUCUCCAGCGCCAUACUGGGUUGAUCUAUUGGGAACAUCAGUUUUUGUUAACUGGAAAUGUAUUUGCAUGAAUAACUUUCUGAAUUCUCUCUUUCAUGUUGGGGGCGUGCCUGGUGUAAUGAGACGACCAAAGUAAGGUGAGAAACUACACUGCAAUGUGUGCUGGAUCAUUUUCAAAGGGGGCCUGUCAGGCUUUCCCACUGCUGGUCAUUCACGCAGUGAUCCCACAGCAGCGCCCCUCAUGACACUGCAGAUCCUGUUUGCCAUAGGUGGUCUGCAGUCUCCGUGAAUCUUUUCUUCUGAUAUUACAUCAGUGGUGAAAGUGGCAACCUUUACACAUCAGCACCUCUAGAUCUAUGCCUGUUUAAUAUGUGUGCAUGACAGAAACUGCACAAGCUGUUAAUUGACGAGUCAUGGGGGUUACAGUAUUUCCAAUCAACAAGUGAUCUUUAGGUUUAAGCCCUGCGUGCACCCAUCAAGUUAAGAUGUUAAUUUCUUCAAACUGAUCAAGUCUAAAUAUUUGAAGAUGUAGCUCCAAAUCUGACCAGAUGAGGCUUUCUAAUCAAUUUAAUUACAUCUGAACUAAUACUACUACUUUACUCAAUUGGCUUCUUUUAGAU